ensembl:lncRNA
GGGGGGGGCGGCAGGAGAAAGGGGUAAGAAAGAGAAAGAGUGUGUGAGAGAGAGAGAGAGAGAGAGAGAGAGAGAGAGAGAGAGAAAGAGGGAGGGAGGGUGGAGUUUGGAGUUUAGGGUUAGGGUGUGGGGAAAGACUAGGCCCGGCUAUGCCGGAACCUAAGUGCACGGUCCAUCCAUGGGACUGGUAUUGGUGCCCCCUGAUCAAAAAAUUACCCUAAGCGGGUGUAGUGCACUGUGGUGGGCCUUCGCGACGUUUCGGCUUCUCUGAGCCUUCUUCAGGCUGGCCCACCCGCUUUUGUGUUCUGUUUCGCCACUCUGGGCCUUUUAUACUUUUCUUUUUCCUUUUCGUUUUUCUUAACUUUUUCUGUUUCUUAGUUUUUUCUUGUUCUCAGCUUUGGCUGCUUACUCUCCCUUUUUCUAUCUUUUUCUGUUGUUCUUUAUCUUUCUGUUUUUCUUUAUCCUUCCCUUUGUAUUUCUGUUAUUCUUUAUUCUUGUUCUUUAUUCUUUCUGUUUUUCUUUAUCUUUCCCUUUGUAUUCUGUUGUUCUUUAUUCUUUCUGUUCUUUAUUAUUCCUCUUAAUUUCUCUUGUGUUCUUUCUUUUAUUCUUUCUCAUAUUUCUUUAAAUGGCACCCCCUUCUCUUUAGACAUCCCGUCCGUGGUCUAUAUUUUUCUUUUAUGGCACCCCCUUCCUGUAAAUCCUUUCCUUUUGUACUUUGUCUUUUUUCUGACCUUUCUUGUCUUUUUUUCUCUUAGCUUAGGCUUUUAAAGUUCCCUUAGAGUUAGGGCUAGAGGGGGAGGGGGGAGGGGGGCAAAGGGGUUAGGGUUAGGAUAAGGUAGUGGGUGGGGGGCUCCCCACAAUGAGGGAGAGAGGAAAUGGGCAGGGGCACCACCAAUCCCAGGAGGCACAGGCUGGUUAGGGUGUGGGGAAAGACUAGGCCCGGCUAUGCCGGAACCUAAGUGCACGGUCCAUCCAUGGGACUGGUAUUGGUGCCCCCUGAUCAAAAAAUUACCCUAAGCGGGUGUAGUGCACUGUGGUGGGCCUUCGCGACGUUUCGGCUUCUCUGAGCCUUCUUCAGGCUGGCCCACCCGCUUUUGUGUUCAGAUGUGCCACUCUGGGCCUUUUAUACUCUUCCUUUUUCAUUUCUGUUUUUCUUAACUUUUUCUGUUUCUUAGUUUUGUCUUUUUCUCAGCUUUGGCUGCUUUAGCUCUCCCUUGUUCUAUCUUUUUCUGUUGUUCUUUAUCUUUCUGUUUUUCUUUAUCCUUCCCUUUGUAUUUCUGUUAUUCUUUAUUCUUGUUCUUUAUUCUUUCCUUUUUUCUUUAUCUUUCUCUUUAUAUUACUGUUGUUCUUCAUUCUUUCUGUUGUUCUUUAUUCUUUCUGUUUUUCUUUAUUAUUUCUCUUUAUUUCUCUUGUGUUCUUUUCUUUAUUCUUUCUCAUAUUUCUUGAAAUGGCACCCCCUUCUCUUUAGACAUCCCGUCCUGUGGUCUGUAUUUUUCUUUUAUGGCACCCCCUUCCUGUAAAUCCUUCCUUAUGUAUUCUGUUCUUUCUUUCUGAACUUUCUUGUCUUUUUCUCCUUUUAUUUAGGCUUUCUUAGAGUUCCCUUAGAGUUAGGGCUAGAGGGGGAGGGGGGAGGGGGGCAAAGGGGUUAGGGUAAGGAUAAGGUAGUGGGUGGGGGGCUCCCCACAAUGAGGGAGAGAGGAAAUGGGCAGGGGCACCACCAAUCCCAGGAGGCACAGGCUGGUUAGGGUGUGGGGAAAGACUAGGCCCGGCUAUGCCGGAACCUAAGUGCACGGUCCAUCCAUGGGACUGGUAUUGGUGCCCCCUGAUCAAAAAAUUACCCUAAGCGGGUGUAGUGCACUGUGGUGGGCCUUCGCGACGUUUCGGCUUCUCUGAGCCUUCUUCAGGCUGGCCCACCCGCUUUUGUGUUCAGAUGUGCCACUCUGGGCCUUUUAUACUCUUCCUUUUUCAUUUCUGUUUUUCUUAACUUUUUCUGUUUCUUAGUUUUGUCUUUUUCUCAGCUUUGGCUGCUUUAGCUCUCCCUUGUUCUAUCUUUUUCUGUUGUUCUUUAUCUUUCUGUUUUUCUUUAUCCUUCCCUUUGUAUUUCUGUUAUUCUUUAUUCUUGUUCUUUAUUCUUUCCUUUUUUCUUUAUCUUUCUCUUUAUAUUACUGUUGUUCUUCAUUCUUUCUGUUGUUCUUUAUUCUUUCUGUUUUUCUUUAUUAUUUCUCUUUAUUUCUCUUGUGUUCUUUUCUUUAUUCUUUCUCAUAUUUCUUGAAAUGGCACCCCCUUCUCUUUAGACAUCCCGUCCUGUGGUCUGUAUUUUUCUUUUAUGGCACCCCUUCCUGUAAAUCCUUCCCUUAUGUAUUCUGUUCUUUCUUUCUGAACUUUCUUGUCUUUUUCUCCUUUUAUUUAGGCUUUCUUAGAGUUCCCUUAGAGUUAGGGCUAGAGGGGGAGGGGGGAGGGGGGCAAAGGGGUUAGGGUAAG